rnacentral:lncRNA from 1 species
GGGCAAGAGAUAUCACAAGGUGAGAGGUUUUGUUAUUUAGAAUCUACUAUGGAAAAUAACAUUAAUUUAGAUGAGGAUAUAUGUAAUAAUAUUGGAUCUGGUUGGAUAGAGUGGUAAAGUUUUUUUGAGGUAUUAUGUGAUAAAUGCACACUUUGGUGGCUUGAAUGGAAAUUUUGUAGAACAAUGAGGCCUACAAUAUUAUAUUAGUUUGGAUAUUUGGCAAUAAAAAUGGUUUAGAAAACAAAUAUAGCAGAAAUGAGGAUGUUGAGAUGGAUGCAUCAUAAAACUAGAGCAAAUAAAUUGAUAAAUAAGUUUGUUAGUGGAGUUAUUGGAUUUGCAUAAAUUAAGGACAAAAUGAUGGAGAAUUUGACUAAGAUGAUAUAGGUAUGAAAAUGAAUAUCUGAGGGGCUUUGGUAAUAUGUACUUUAAUAAUUUCCAUUGAAGGAAGGAGGAUGCACAGACCUAAGGUAACAUGGAUGGAAUUUGUGAGGAA